rnacentral:tRNA from 1 species
GCGCCGGUGGCGGUCUGACAUUGAAGUGGUGGGCUUUAGCUCACCGAUUGUAUGGAGAGGUCGUUGCGCAGGUGCUCUACCUGUUCGGCGCGC